GAUUUUCCGGUCGGUUGAUCCUGCCGGACCUGACUGCUAUCGGAUUGAUACUAAGCCAUGUGAGUCAUUGUAGUAAUACAAGGCAGACGGCUCAGUAACACGUAGCCAAUCUAACCUAUGGACGGGGAUAACCUCGGGAAACUGAGGAUAAACCCCGAUAGAUCAUUAUGCCUGGAAAGGUUUAUGGUCCAAAUGAUUCGUCGCCGUAGGAUGAGACUGCGGCCUAUCAGCUUGUUGGUGAGGUAAUGGCCCACCAAGGCUAUUACAGGUACGGGCUCUGAGAGGAGUAGCCCGGAGAUGGGUACUGAGACACGGACCCAGGCCCUAUGGGGCGCAGCAGGCGAGAAAACUUUGCAAUGUGCGAAAGCACGACAAGGUUAAUCCGAGUGGUUUCUGCUAAAGGAACCUUUUGUUAGUUCUAGAAACACUAACGAAUAAGGGGUGGGCAAGUUCUGGUGUCAGCCGCCGCGGUAAAACCAGCACCUCAAGUGGUCAGGAUGAUUAUUGGGCCUAAAGCAUCCGUAGCCGGCUCUGUAAGUUUUCGGUUAAAUCUGUACGCUUAACGUACAGGCUGCCGGGAAUACUGCAUAGCUAGGGAGUGGGAGAGGUAGACGGUACUCGGUAGGAAGGGGUAAAAUCCUUUGAUCUAUUGAUGACCACCUGUGGCGAAGGCGGUCUACCAGAACACGUCCGACGGUGAGGGAUGAAAGCUGGGGGAGCAAACCGGAUUAGAUACCCGGGUAGUCCCAGCUGUAAACUAUGCAAACUCAGUGAUGCAUUGGCUUGUGGCCAAUGCAGUGCUGCAGGGAAGCCGUUAAGUUUGCCGCCUGGGAAGUACGUACGCAAGUAUGAAACUUAAAGGAAUUGGCGGGGGAGCACCACAAGGGGUGAAGCCUGCGGUUCAAUUGGAUUCAACGCCGGAA
rnacentral:rRNA from 1 species